rnacentral:rRNA from 1 species
GAUGAACGCUGGCGGCGUGCCUAAUACAUGCAAGUCGAGCGAACAGACGAGGAGCUUGCUCCUCUGACGUUAGCGGCGGACGGGUGAGUAACACGUGGAUAGCCUACCUAUAAGACUGGGAUAACUUCGGGAAACCGGAGCUAAUACCGGAUAAUAUAUUGAACCGCAUGGUUCAAUAGUGAAAGACGGUUUUGCUGUCACUUAUAGAUGGAUCCGCGCCGCAUUAGCUAGUUGGUAAGGUAACGGCUUACCAAGGCAACGAUGCGUAGCCGACCUGAGAGGGCGAUCGGCCACACUGGAACUGAGACACGGUCCAGACUCCUACGGGAGGCAGCAGUAGGGAAUCUUCCGCAAUGGGCGAAAGCCUGACGGAGCAACGCCGCGUGAGUGAUGAAGGUCUUCGGAUCGUAAAACUCUGUUAUUAGGGAAGAACAAAUGUGUAAGUAACUAUGCACGUCUUGACGGUACCUAAUCAGAAAGCCACGGCUAACUACGUG